rnacentral:lncRNA from 1 species
GGAGAUGAAACAGUAAUGGGAGGAAAACCCGUUUCAGGGCUCUGCAAGCUGUGGCCGUUGCCCCCGAGAGAGUCUCGCCGGAGGAGCACCUGGGGGAGAAGAGUCGGAGAGUGGAGACGGGGUAGCGCCGUCGGCACGGGAAACAGAAGCCAAACGGUGCCGUAGGCGAUCAUUUCGUUCCAUCAAUCUCUCUCGAGCAGGUACGGAGAGGAGGAUUCCGGAGGUAAAGAGCCGAAAUCUUCGAUGGUUUAGGGUUUACGGUUUGUAAUCGUAUGUAGUUUGUAAUCCUUUUCAGAAGCCUGUAGGCAUUGAUGAGAUAUGUCGUAGCUAACCCACGGAGGCCGCGGGACUAUGCGGUGAAUCAGAUCCGGCGUCAACGUCUGCCGUGGCCAAGCCCUGCCAAUCAUAACUCCGCCUACGGAUUCGUUGACUCUGGGCUAGUAGAAAUCCUCUGCACUGGCUGCUGUUCAUCGCCGUCAAUCCCCGCAGCGAGCAAUUCCUAGUUCCCCACGUGAGAAGGCGGCUGGUGUCGCAGCCACUGUUCACCGCGUCGCAUGCCGCGGCUGGCGAGUCCAGAUCCCGAUGGAGGAUGGAGCUCUUCAACCCGUCCGUCGGUGGCGCUCCCCUGGAAAGGUCUGACGCCCGCAUCCUUCACCGGAAGGAACCCUAGACUCCACUUGCCGUACGUCUGCCUUAAAGUGAGCGCCGG